rnacentral:tRNA from 1 species
GUCCCUGUAGCGCAAUGGAUAGCGCGUUGGACUUCUAAUCCAAAGGUCGUGGAUUCAUUCCCUCCUGGGAUG